GAGACUGUGCUUCAGGGAUCUUUUCUAUAGUUUGUGACUAGAGGAAUGUGUCUAUGAAUGAUUGGUCUUGCUAACCAUGAUGAGGAGUUGUAGCAUUUUCUCUGGAGCAUGAAGUGAGUAGGUAGUACUGUUUGUGUACAGCGGCUGCUGGCUCUUGAUGACUGCUCUUCUUCCUUUGGGAAGCUAGAGGGGGAAGGUGUAGACUGAGCGGU